GAUGAACGCUGACAGAAUGCUUAACACAUGCAAGUCAACUUGAAUUUGGGUUUUUAACUUAGGUUUGGGUGGCGGACGGGUGAGUAACGCGUAAAGAACUUGCCCCACAGGUAGGGACAACAUUUGGAAACGAAUGCUAAUACCUAAUAUUAUGAUAAUAGGGCAUCCUAUAAUUAUGAAAGCUAUAAGCGCUGUGAGAGAGCUUUGCGUCCCAUUAGCUAGUUGGAGAGGUAACGGCUCACCAAGGCGAUGAUGGGUAGCCGGCCUGAGAGGGUGAUCGGCCACAAGGGGACUGAGACACGGCCCUUACUCCUACGGGAGGCAGCAGUGGGGAAUAUUGGACAAUGGACCGAGAGUCUGAUCCAGCAAUUCUGUGUGCACGAUGAAGUUUUUCGGAAUGUAAAGUGCUUUCAGUUGGGAAGAAACAAAUGACGGUACCAACAGAAGAAGUGACGGCUAAAUACGUGCCAGCAGCCGCGGUAAUACGUAUGUCACGAGCGUUAUCCGGAUUUAUUGGGCGUAAAGCGCGUCUAGGUGGUUAUGUAAGUCUGAUGUGAAAAUGCAGGGCUCAACUCUGUAUUGCGUUGGAAACUGUAUAACUAGAGUACUGGAGAGGUAAGCGGAACUACAAGUGUAGAGGUGAAAUUCGUAGAUAUUUGUAGGAAUGCCGAUGGGGAAGCCAGCUUACUGGACAGAUACUGACGCUGAAGCGCGAAAGCGUGGGUAGCAAACAGG
rnacentral:rRNA from 1 species